UUCCCCUUCGGGGGACAAAGUGACAGGUGGUGCAUGGUUGUCGUCAGCUCGUGUCGUGAGAUGUUGGGUUAAGUCCCGCAACGAGCGCAACCCUUAAGCUUAGUUGCCAUCAUUAAGUUGGGCACUCUAAGUUGACUGCCGGUGACAAACCGGAGGAAGGUGGGGAUGACGUCAAAUCAUCAUGCCCUUUAUGAUUUGGGCUACACACGUGCUACAAUGGACAAUACAAAGGGCAGCGAAACCGUGAGGUCAAGCAAAUCCCAUAAAGUUGUUCUCAGUUCGGAUUGUAGUCUGCAACUCGACUACAUGAAGCUGGAAUCGCUAGUAAUCGUAGAUCAGCAUGCUACGGUGAAUACGUUCCCGGGUCUUGUACACACCGCCCGUCACACCACGAGAGUUUGUAACACCCGAAGCCGGUGGAGUAACCUUUUAGGAGCUAGCCGUCGAAGGUGGGACAAAUGAUUGGGGUGAAGUCGUAACAAGGUAGCCGUAUCGGAAGGUGCGGCUGGAUCACCUCCUUU
rnacentral:rRNA from 1 species